AUCAAUGAGGGGGAGGUGGAAGACCUUCUGACAUAUACGUGGGAAAAUUGGAAUAGCGGACCAUAUUUAGAUAAGCUGAUGGAUCCGACAUUAAGGGGUGGCUCAAGAAAUGAAAUGUUGAGAUGCAUCCACGUUGGUUUACUAUGCGUGCAGGAAAAUGCACUUGAUAGACCAAACAUGGCUUCAGUUGUUAUCAUGCUAAGUACUUACUCCGUCACUCUUCCAGUACCUCAGAAGCCUGCGUUUUUUGCUCACAGUACGGUACUGUCUGGGACAACAUCAACUUGGACCGAGUCAGAUCAAUCCCGAAGUGCAUCUGUCCCAUGUUCAAUCAAUGAGGCUUCAAUCACUGAACUCUACCCUCGGUAGAGUUUGCGGAUGGAGGGUCCACCGUUAAGCAUGCUAUAAUUUGUUCUGUAUCUCA